rnacentral:rRNA from 1 species
ACGAACGCUGGCGGCACGCUUAACACAUGCAAGUCGAACGAGAGAAGAGGAGCUUGCUUUUCUGAUCUAGUGGCGGACGGGUGAGUAACACGUGAGCAAUCUGCCUUUCAGAGGGGGAUACCGAUUGGAAACGAUCGUUAAUACCGCAUAACAUAAUUGAACCGCAUGAUUUGAUUAUCAAAGAUUUAUCGCUGAAAGAUGAGCUCGCGUCUGAUUAGCUAGUUGGUAAGGUAACGGCUUACCAAGGCGACGAUCAGUAGCCGGACUGAGAGGUUGAUCGGCCACAUUGGGACUGAGACACGGCCCAGACUCCUACGGGAGGCAGCAGUGGGGAAUAUUGCACAAUGGAGGAAACUCUGAUGCAGCGAUGCCGCGUGAGGGAAGAAGGUUUUAGGAUUGUAAACCUCUGUCUUCAGGGACGAAAAAAGACGGUACCUGAGGAGGAAGCUCCGGCUAACUACGUGCCAGCAGCCGCGGUAAUACGUAGGGAGCGAGCGUUGUCCGGAAUUACUGGGUGUAAAGGGAGCGUAGGCGGGAUCGCAAGUCAGAUGUGAAAACUAUGGGCUUAACCCAUAAACUGCAUUUGAAACUGUGGUUCUUGAGUGAAGUAGAGGUAAGCGGAAUUCCUAGUGUAGCGGUGAAAUGCGUAGAUAUUAGGAGGAACAUCAGUGGCGAAGGCGGCUUACUGGGCUUUAACUGACGCUGAGGCUCGAAAGCGUGGGGAGCAAACAGGAUUAGAUACCCUGGUAGUCCACGCCGUAAACGAUGAUUACUAGGUGUGGGGGGACUGACCCCUUCCGUGCCGCAGCAAACGCAAUAAGUAAUCCACCUGGGGAGUACGACCGCAAGGUUGAAACUCAAAGGAAUUGACGGGGGCCCGCACAAGCAGUGGAGUAUGUGGAUUAAUUCGAAGCAACGCGAAGAACCUUACCAGGUCUUGACUUCGUAUGCAUAGCUCAGAGAUGAGUGAAAUCUCUUCGGAGACAUAUAGACAGGUGGUGCAUGGUUGUCGUCAGCUCGUGUCGUGAGAUGUUGGGUUAAGUCCCGCAACGAGCGCAACCCUUACUGUUAGUUGCUACGCAAGAGCACUCUAGCAGGACUGCCGUUGACAAAACGGAGGAAGGUGGGGAUGACGUCAAAUCAUCAUGCCCCUUAUGACCUGGGCCUCACACGUACUACAAUGGCUGUCAACAGAGGGAUGCAAAGCCGCGAGGUGGAGCGAACCCCUAAAAGCAGUCUUAGUUCGGAUUGUAGGCUGCAACCCGCCUACAUGAAGUCGGAAUUGCUAGUAAUCGCAGAUCAGCAUGCUGCGGUGAAUACGUUCCCGGGCCUUGUACACACCGCCCGUCACGCCAUGGGAGUCGGUAACACCCGAAGCCUGUAGUCUAACCGCAAGGAGGACGCAGUCGAAGGUGGGAUUGAUGACUGGGGUG